ACCUGGCUCACACCGGUUUAAACUCAGAUCAUGUAAAAUUUCAAAGGUCGAACAGACCUAAUUUAUUAGCCUCUACACCAAUAAUUUAUUUUAAUCCAACAUCGAGGUCGCAAUCUUUUUCUUCGAUAAGAACUCUAAAAAAAAUCACGCUGUUAUCCCUAAGGUAAUUUAAUCUUUUAAUCUAAAUUUCAGGAUCAUAAACUCAUAAAUAAAUGAUUUUUUUAAAAAAAAGUUUAUUUAAUUUUUUUGUCACCCCAACAAAAUAUUUAAUUACUAAAUUAAAUUCAUAAUUCUAAAUCUUAAUUUAAAUAAUAAAUAUAAAACUCUAUAGGGUCUUCUCGUCUUUUAUAAGUAUUUAAGCUUUUUAACUUAAAAAUAAAAUUCUAAUUAAUUUUUAUAGAGACAGAAAUUUUCUCAUCAAACCUUUCAUUCCAGCUUUCAAUUAAAAAACUAAUGAUUAUGCUACCUUUGCACGGUCAAUAUACCGCGGCCAUUCAACUUCUCAUUGGGCAGGUUAGACUUAAAAUUAUUAUCAAUAAGCC
rnacentral:rRNA from 1 species